rnacentral:rRNA from 1 species
AGGACGAACGCUGGCGGCGUGCUUAACACAUGCAAGUCGAGCGGUAAGGCCCUUUCGGGGGUACACGAGCGGCGAACGGGUGAGUAACACGUGGGUGACCUGCCCUUAGCUCUGGGAUAAGCCUGGGAAACUGGGUCUAAUACCGGAUAUGACCUCGCGAUGCAUGUCGUGGGGUGGAAAGCCUUGUGCGGCUAGGGAUGGGCCCGCGGCCUAUCAGCUUGUUGGUGGGGUGAUGGCCUACCAAGGCGACGACGGGUAGCCGGCCUGAGAGGGCGACCGGCCACACUGGGACUGAGACACGGCCCAGACUCCUACGGGAGGCAGCAGUGGGGAAUCUUGCGCAAUGGGCGAAAGCCUGACGCAGCGACGCCGCGUGAGGGAUGACGGCCUUCGGGUUGUAAACCUCUUUCAGCCCUGACGAAGCGAAAGUGACGGUAGGGCGAGAAGAAGCACCGGCCAACUACGUGCCAGCAGCCGCGGUAA